AUGUCGUUGGUGUUGGGUAACGACCGACCCUUCCUUCCUGCCGCUUUCUCUGGAGCUGCCUUCCACGAAGAGCUUUGCGCCCCUUUGGGCACUUCCUCCGUGCCCCCCUGCGUAAGGUCACCGGGCAUUGCUUGGAAAUCCUCACCCUGCCCCGGGCAGGAUGGGUCUGGACCAUCACCAGCGGGGCCGUGCAGGGUGUCCCCGCUCUCCCCCCUGCGACCACCCAGGGGCAGAUCCCCAACCUCGCCCCCAGCCGAUCCCGCAGGUCGUGGGGACAGGCGAGGGUCCCUUCCCAGUGGGACCGUUCGGUUUUGGGGAGUGAAGAGCCCGGUUCCUCCUCCCCUUGCUCUGCAAGCCGGGGGACACCGGUGGCCACUUGGGGCCACGCUGGUGCGGGGCUGGGGCUCGGCAGGGCUCAGCACCACCCGCGUCCCGCUGAGCGAAACCGAGAGCUGCGACUCUUCCCUUUUCAGUGAAAAGGAAGCGACCUCCGCCUGCUUCCCGGCACCUCCCGCCCGCCGCCGCUCUCCCAGCACCCGGCCUGAGGUCCAGGGCCAGUGCUGGCACCGCUGGGACCCGCGCUGCCUUUCCUGGAAGGCAACGAACGGCCUCCCGGGCGCUUUGGGGAAAGGCUUGGAGCAGCUCCUGCCCGCCCGGGCCAGGCAGGAAUGCGUGCAGCGUGCGGGCAGACUGGAGCCACGCUUCCUCCGCGUGCCUGGAAUAUUUGGGAUGUUUCAGCGUCUGACCCCAGCGCCGGGCGGAGGGCGGCAGGGGCCAGGCAGCACCGCGAGCGCUGCUCGGGCUCAGCUGCGGCACCCCGGGGGUUUUGGGGGCUCCUGGCACCGGUUACAGGGCGGUGCAGUGAGGGUGAAGGAGCCCCAAAGGGCCUGGAGAGCCUCAGGGGUGCGGAGGGGACCUGAUUUUGUUGUGUCCUCGCCCCACAGCAGCCUGGGGAGACGUGGCCUCGCCGGAGCCACCGGUGACAAAGUCCCCUUGGUGACAGCUCCUCCUGUCCCCUCCUGGAGCGGGGUCCCUGUGUCUGCACCCCGUGGCUACAGAGCUGCAGCCCUCGCCCCCUACCCCACAAAAUGCUCAAACUCCCCCAAAUUCCCUUAA
rnacentral:lncRNA from 1 species